UUUUAGCAAUGAAUUCCUGCAUUUAAUUCCAUACAUCUUUUGGACAUUUUGGACACCGAACUACGUUUUUGUAGCCUCCAGCUAGAUGUUGCUUAAUCCUAUUAACUCCCUCUUUAUAAACUUUCAUGCAGUACAUGCAUUGAAGGUCAUUACAUGCGCCCGUCCUGGGUCCGUCCAUCUACUGCUAAUAGAAGAUCCAAUUGUAUUACCCUUAUCACCCAUUU
rnacentral:misc_RNA from 1 species